AAAUUCCUUGUCGGGUAAGUUCCGACCCGCACGAAAGGCGUAACGAUUUGGGCACUGUCUCAACAACAGACUCGGUGAAAUUGUAAUUCCGGUGAAGAUGCCGGAUACCUGCGACAGGACGGAAAGACCCCAUGGAGCUUUACUGUAGCUUGACAUUGGGUCUUGGUACUACAUGUACAGGAUAGGUGGGAGGCUUUGAAACCAGGACGCCAG
rnacentral:rRNA from 1 species